rnacentral:lncRNA from 1 species
GGUACAAAACAGGGCUUCCUAAGGGGUGUCUCUUUUGCCUAGAGCAAAAAGCCGCUCUCUAUUUGGCACAAACUACCCACAUGGGGCAUCCUAAGGGGCAUCCCUUUUGGGCCAGCACAGAAAGGGGCAUCUCAAGGGACAUCCCUUUUUGACAUGCCAAAUAUUUUAGUUCUUUUUCAUAAAAGGGAUGUCCCAAGGGGUUUUCUUUUUAUUCCAAGAGCUGAAACAUG